AACGAACGCUGGCGGCAUGCUUAACACAUGCAAGUCGAACGGAUAGCUUGCUAUCAGUGGCGCACGGGUGAGUAACACGUGGGAACCUACCUUUUAGUUUGGGAUAACUUUGGGAAACUAAGGCUAAUACCGGAUACGCUUUGCAGCUUGGCGCUGUAAAGGAAAGAUUUAUCGCUAAAAGAUGGGCCCGCGGUGGAUUAGCUUGUUGGUGGGGUAAAGGCUUACCAAGGCAACGAUCCAUAGCUGGUCUGAGAGGAUGAUCAGCCACACUGGGACUGAGAUACGGCCCAGACUCCUACGGGAGGCAGCAGUGGGGAAUAUUGGACAAUGGGCGAAAGCCUGAUCCAGCAAUGCCGCGUGAGUGAAGAAGGUCUUCGGAUUUGUAAAGCUCUUUCACGGGUGAAGAUAAUGACGGUAACCCGAGAAGAAGCCCCGGCUAACUUCGUG
rnacentral:rRNA from 1 species